rnacentral:rRNA from 1 species
AUGACUUAUUGUUGUCUUGCUAACAAAUGUGCGAUUUUGGACAUAUGGCUUGUGGUUGGUGACUUGGGCAUACAUUUCUAUAUUUUGGUGAGGAGGUGUUCUGUGACUACAAUAUCACUUAGUAAGAAGCAACAUCUCAUUGUCUUUUGUUGUUGCUUCUCUAGUACUUUGAUGCUUUGGUGUGUGAAUUGUAUUAACCUUUCUAGUAUGGCUAAACAUGUUACUAGUAUUUUUGUUGAAAAAUUUCAUGUUAUUUUGAGCACUGGUUUGGCAAAUGUUCUCUAUUUAAAUUCACAAUACCAAAUAUUUAGUUCAAAGUCAAUAUUUUUGAAAAAUUCCAACAAAUUUCCAGUAAAUACUACUCCCUCCAUUCCAAAAUAUAGUGCGCCCGCGCUUCCCGAGAUCGAACUUUGA